rnacentral:rRNA from 1 species
UACGGAGUGUGCAAGCGUUACUCGGAAUCACUGGGCAUAAAGCGCGCGUAGGCGGGUUUCCAAGUCGGUUGUGAAAUCCCUCAGCUCAACUGAGGAACUGCAUCCGAUACUGUUUGUCUUGAGGACGAGAGGGGAGAGUGGAACUUCUGGUGAAGCGGUGAAAUGCGUAGAUAUCGGGAGGAACACCAGUGGCGAAGGCGACUACCUGGCCUGUUCUUGACGCUGAGGCGCGAAAGCUAGGGGAGCAAACGGGG